rnacentral:rRNA from 1 species
AUUGAACGCUGGCGGCAGGCCUAACACAUGCAAGUCGAACGAGUGGCGGACGGGUGAGUAAUGUCUGGGAAACUGCCCGAUGGAGGGGGAUAACUACUGGAAACGGUAGCUAAUACCGCAUACCAUCGGAUGUGCCCAGAUGGGAUUAUCUUGUAGGUGAGGUAACGGCUCACCUAGACGACGAUCCCUAGCUGGUCUGAGAGGAUGACCAGUGGCAGUGUAAUUGAGACACGGUGCAGACUCCUAUGGUAGGUAGACGUGGGGAAUAUUUCACAAUGUGCGCAAGCAUGAUGCAGCCAUGCCGCGUUUGUGAAGAAGGCCUUCGUGUUGUAAAGUAUUUUCAUCGGGGAGGCGUUACAAGCAGAAGAAGCACAGGCUAACUCCGUGCCAGCAGCCGCGGUAAUAC